UUAUAUUCUGUAGCAAGGUUAACCGAAUAGGGGAGCCGUAGGGAAACCGAGUCUUAACCGGGCGUUAAGUUGCAGGGUAUAGACCCGAAACCCGGUGAUCUAGCCAUGGGCAGGUUGAAGGUUGGGUCGAUGAUUCCCGAUGCUGAACGCGCCGCAACGUAUAUGCACCCGGAGGUGAAAAUUACCUUCACCGGAGGCCGGGCGAUGGCGGGCGCGGCAGAUAUCGCGCAGUUUAACGGCGCUCGCUACAAGU
rnacentral:rRNA from 1 species